GUCAGUCAGCUGGGAAUAGCCAGAUCAUAAAAUUAAAGGCUUCUGGUGUGGGCAGCUGUAAAUGCUGAUUCUGAAGAAAGCAGACCGGCAGAGCAAGACCCCUCAUCAGUCCAAAAAAAAGAUGAUUUACCAAGUGUCCAGAGCAGGCUGAGGGUGACCAGCUCCGGAAGCUUCCAUGAUGCCAAAUACCUUCUCAAUGACUUCUUUUGUGUACUUUCUUCUAUUUUUAUUAAACUUUUACUGGAA